CCCGAAGUGCUAGGAUUACAUGUGUGAGCCACUGUGCCCGGCCCCCAGUACCUUGUAUAACCUCCCCCUCGGAGGUGACAUCUGCCACUUUUGCUGCAUUCCAUUUCUUAGGAGCGAGUCAUUGGGUCCGGGCCAUAUGGGAGUGAAUACUGGGAGGCGGGGAUUAUUGGGAGCCACUUUAGAAGCUGCCUACUGCAGUUGUCAUGAUUCUUCAUCCUUUUCUGCUAGAUAUGCAACUCAGGAACCGUAAAGAUUGUCUUGUAAAAAACUGCAGAAUGUAACAAUAACAAAUCCAAAGUUUGGAGCUUGGUGCCUCGCUUGGUAAGCGAGGUUAUUCCACAUGAUCUGCGGAGGCUCCCUGCGGGAGGUGGGUGCCUGAGCCACUCAUCAGUGACCCAUCUUGCCCAGUGAGGAGCUCGCACAUGUGUUGCUUGUGAAGAAAGGCGGCAAACAAACAGGUGGUUCCUUGGAUAGGAAGUAUGAUUUAAGUAAGAAACCAUGUUAGGUGCUGCUGGGAGUUGCUUGGAGGUUGGCGGCGCGGGGCUGAAGGCUAGCAGACCGAGUGAUCAUGUCGCACAAACAGAUUGACUAUUCGGACAAAUACGAUGACGAGGAGUUUGAGUAUCGACAUGUUGUGCUGCCCAAGGACAUAGCCAAGCUGGUCCCUAAAACUCGUUUGAUGUCUGAAUCUGAAUGGAGGAAUCUUGGCAUUCAGCAGAGUCAGGGAUGGGUCCAUUAUAUGAUCCAGGAACCAGAACCUCACAUCUUGCUGUUCCGGCGCCCGCUACCCAAGAAGCCAAAGAAAUGAAGCUGGCAAGCUACUUUUCAGCCUCAAGCUUUACACAGCUGUCCUUACUUCCUAACAUCUUUCUGAUAAUAUUAUUAUGUUGCCUUCUUGUUUCUCACUUUGAUAUUUAAAAGAUGUUCAAUACACUGUUUGAAUGUGCUGGUAACUGCUUUGCUUCUUGAGUAGAGCCACCACCACCAUAGCCCAGCCAGAUGAGUGCUCUGUGGACCCACAGCCUCAGCUGAGUGUGACCCCAGAAGCCACGAUGUGCUCUGUAUCCAGAACACACUUGGCAGAUGGAGGAAGCAUCUGAGUUUGAGACCAUGGCUGUUACCAGAGAUCAUGUAAACUUGCUGUUUUUGUUUUUUUCCUGCCGGGUGUUGUAUGUGUGGUGACUUGUGGAUUUAUGUUUCAGUGUACUGGAAACUUUCCAUUUUAUUCAAGAAAUCUGUUCAUGUUAAAAGCCUUGAUUAAAGAGGAAGUUUUUAUAAUCUAAAAAAAAAAAAAAAAAA